UACGUAGGGCGCAAGCGUUAUCCGGAAUUAUUGGGCGUAAAGAGCUCGUAGGCGGUUUGUCGCGUCUGCCGUGAAAGUCCGGGGCUCAACUCCGGAUCUGCGGUGGGUACGGGCAGACUAGAGUGAUGUAGGGGAGACUGGAAUUCCUGGUGUAGCGGUGAAAUGCGUAGAUAUCUGGAGGAACACCGGUGGCGAAGGCGACAUCCUGGACCGGUAUUGACGCUGAGGCGCGAAAGCCAGGGGAGCAAACGGG
rnacentral:rRNA from 1 species